rnacentral:rRNA from 1 species
UACGUAGGGGGCAAGCGUUGUCCGGAUUUAUUGGGCGUAAAGAGCGUGUAGGCGGCCAGGUAGGUCUGGUGUGAAAACUCGAGGCUUAACCUCGAGAUGUCAUCGGAAACCAUUUGGCUAGAGUCCGGAAGAGGAGAGUGGAAUUCCUGGUGUAGCGGUGAAAUGCGCAGAUAUCAGGAAGAACACCAAUGGCGAAAGCAGCUCUCUGGGACGGUACUGACGCUGAGACGCGAAAGCGUGGGGAGCAAAAGGG